AGGGUCGUUGAACAGCUGCUCUGCAAGCUCCCACCCUGUGGAGUGUACUUUGAUCUUCAAUAAAUCUUUGCUUUCAUUGCUUCAUUCUUUCAUUGCUUUGCUGUGCAUUCUGUCCAAUUCUUUGUUCAAAAUGCCAAGAACCUGGACAAUUUGCAGUCAAGACCCUCCACCGGUAACACAAUUUCCAAAUUGGACUUAACAUUUUCAUUUUUCCAGAGCAGAUUGGAGGUAGAGAAGAAAGAAGGCAUUUCCUUCUUUUCAAAGACACAUCCUCAAAGUUGCAUAUAUUAUUCUUUCUCGCUUUAUAUGUCAGAUGUUAGGUAUAUGGCUACACUUCCUGGAAGCUUCCUGAGAAUUGUAGCAUUUAAGCAGCCAGCAUUCUAAAAUUAGAGUUCUAGUUCUAUGGAGGAAGGGAGACUAUUGGAGUUCCUCUAAGUUUCUGCCAUGAGCAUUUUCAGGUUACGUUGUCUACAUGUUAUCUAAUACCAAAACCUCUGUUAGUAUCUUCUUUAUUAUAUAGAAAAUAGGGAAUUCUAUCAGGCCAUAAAUACAUGUUUGUUUUAAAAUAAAAAUUAAAGUUCUAUUACAUAAAGAUUCUGAAAGAAUAUCUACAAAAUGAAGUUCUGCAUUUGGGAUAUGAACUUCCAAUUAUAUCAUUGGACUUGACUACUCCAUUUCUUUCCACAUUUAAAAAUCAAUCAGGGAGAAGCUAUUUUGAGAACUUAACACAGUAUUUAACAUGGGAUUUCUGAAUGAAGACAGUUUAUGGAUGAAUAAGGGCAACUUUGGUUCUUUUCAGAAGGUGCGUGAUCUGGAUGGCUGAAGUUGCUGAUUUUGGGGGGUAAUCUACAAGGAAAAGGUGAUGAAAAUACCAGAAACAGUCUGUAUCCUACUAUGUGGCUAACAUAUGAGGAAGUCUCAACAUGCAAACUUUGGCAGAUAAAAUCUUAGGCCAUGGACAAGACCAUGUCCCUUUGUGAAGACAAUGCCCACAGCAAAAUAUUUUUCAUUAAAUCAAGGAAAUGGAUACUAGUGAACUAAGAUUUUAUAUAUAACUAAUAAUAAAUACCAAUUAUUUUUGCAAGCAUAUCUCAUCACUGAAAUAUACAUCUGUAUUUCAAUGUAUUAUCCUAAUAUUGAUUUCCCUGGGGGAAUCAAGAAAAGGAUUAUCUAUUUAAAGAGAAGGGAAUAUCAAGCCUGUUAUUGCCACAAUGUGGAAGAAUCAACAAAAUAACUGUUUUCAAAUUUCCAGAUAUUAAUUUUGUCAUCAUGUAUACAAACUUAUUUACCAAACAUGCUUCAUUCUACAUUUCUUUCUUGACAGGUUUUACAAUCUUUGUUAUUCUGUUUUCAAACAAAAAAUGUAAAAUGCCAUUUCUAUCUUUAUCACUAAAGCUUCCCAUCAACACGUUUAUCUCUUUUCACCCACAUAUCUGAUUGUAUUUUGAAUGUAAAAUAAAAACAGGCUUUAAAAUGAAAA